GCGGCGGGUAGCUCAGUCUGGUAGAGCAGUUACCAAGGAUCUUUCCAAUCUUGUCGCGAUUCAAAUUCUGCCCCUUUGACGGCGAAUGCCCGUGGAACUACAUCCCUGUUAAGGACCUGGUCGGCGGUUCGAGUCCGCCUCCGCGCA
rnacentral:tRNA from 1 species